rnacentral:rRNA from 1 species
AUUGAACGCUGGCGGCGUGCCUAACACAUGCAAGUCGAGCGAAUGAAGGGAGCUUGCUCCUGGAUUUAGCGGCGCACGGGUGAGUAACACGUGGAUAAUCUACCCAUCAGUUCGGGAUACCAGUUGGAAACGACUGACAAUACCGGAUGACAUACAAUUUUAUCGUUGUGUUAAAGGCGGGGCAACCUGUCGCUGGUGGAUGAGUCCGCGUCUCAUUAGGUAGUUGGUAAGGUAAUGGCUUACCAAGCCUUUGAUGAGUAGCCGGCCUGAGAGGGUAAUCGGCCACACUGGGACUGGAACACGGCCCAGACUCCUACGGGAGGCAGCAGUGGGGAAUAUUGCGCAAUGGACGAAAGUCUGACGCAGCGACGCCGCGUGAGGGAUGAAGGCCUUCGGGUCGUAAACCUCUGUCAGGAGGGAAGAACCGCCAGGGUAGUAACUGCCCCUGGUCUGACGGUACCUCCAAAGGAAGCACCGGCUAACUCCGUGCCAGCCGCCGCUGUAAAAC